rnacentral:rRNA from 1 species
UACGAAGGGUCCAAGCGUUGUUCGGAAUUACUGGGCGUAAAGGGCGCGUAGGCGGGUUUCCAAGUCGGGGGUGAAAUUCCAGGGCUCAACCCUGGGACGGCCUUCGAUACUGGGAGCCUGGAGAUCGGGAGAGGUGAGUGGAAUUCCGAGUGUAGAGGUGAAAUUCGUAGAUAUUCGGAGGAACACCAGAAGCGAAGGCGGCUCACUGGCCCGAGACUGACGCUGAGGCGCGAAAGCGUGGGGAGCAAACAGG